rnacentral:rRNA from 1 species
UGAGGAAUAUUGGUCAAUGGGGGCAACCCUGAACCAGCCAAGUCGCGUGAAGGAUGAAGGUCUUAUGGAUUGUAAACUUCUUUUAUACAGGAAUAAAUUGGGGGACGUGUCCCCUUUUGCAUGUACUAUAUGAAUAAGGAUCGGCUAACUCCGUGCCAGCAGCCGCGGUAAUACGGAGGAUCCGAGCGUUAUCCGGAUUUAUUGGGUUUAAAGGGUGCGCAGGCGGGAUGUUAAGUCGGCGGUGAAAUUUUGCAGCUCAACUGUAAAAGUGCCUUCGAUACUGGCUUCCUUGAGUGUGGAUGAAGUAGGCGGAAUUUGUGGUGUAGCGGUGAAAUGCUUAGAUAUCACGAGGAACUCCGAUUGCGCAGGCAGCUUACUAAGCCACAACUGACGCUCAUGCACGAAGGCGUGGGGAUCAAACA